rnacentral:rRNA from 1 species
GUCGUGGGAGAAGUCGGGGCAACCCGGCGAGUAAACCGGCGCACGGGUGAGUAACACGUGGAUAACCUGCCCUGGAGACUGGGAUAACCCGUCGAAAGACGGACUAAUACCAGAUAAGACCACGGACAGUUCGCUGUCCGGGGUAAAAGGUGGCCUCUGCUCCUGCAAGCUAUCACUCCGGGAGGGGUCCGCGGCCUAUCAGCUAGUUGGCGGGGUAACGGCCCACCAAGGCAAAGACGGGUAGCUGGUCUGAGAGGAUGGUCAGCCACACUGGGACUGAGACACGGCUCACAGUCCUACGGGAUGCAGCAGUCAGGAAUAUUGCGCAAUGGAGGAAACUCUGACGCAGCGACGCCGCGUGGGUGAUGAAGGCCUUCGGGUCGUAAAGCCCUGUCGGAGGGAAAGAAAAGCUUGCCGGCUAAUAUCCGGCGAGCCCUUGACGGUACCCUCAAAGGAAGCACCGGCUAACUCCGUGCCAGCAGCCGCGGUAGACGGAGGGUGCGAGCGUUGUUCGGAUUGACUGGGCGUAAAGGGCGUGUAGGCGGUCGGCCAAGUCUGAUGUGAAAGCCCGGGGCUCAGCUCGGAGGUGCGUCGGAAACUAGUCGGCUGGAGCGCGAUACAGGAGGGUGGAAUUCCUGGUGUAACGGUGAAAUGCGUAGAUAUCAGGAGGAACACCGGCGCGAAGCGGCCCUCUGGAUCGUUGCUGACGCUGAGACGCGAAACGUGGGAGCAAACAGGAUUAGAUACCCUGGUAGUCCACGCUGUAAACGAUGGGUACUAGUGUUCGGGGUAUUGACCCCUGAGUGCGCAGCUACGCAUUAGUACCCGCUGGGAUACGGCGCAGGUAAACUCAAGGAUUGACGGGG